CGCAGGUGGGCAGGGAGAGCAGGAAGUCAUGAAUGACCAGGACUCUUCUCAGGUGGACGUGACUCUUUUCCAGGCCCAGUCUGCAAUGAUUGUGAUGUUGGUUCUCGGCAACCACUUACUUAUAACUUAUAAAUGGCAGACCGCUGAAGUCAACUCACCUGUCUGUACUUUAUUCUGCCGUUAGUAUGGGCAGCAUAAAAGGUGAUGACAGGUUCCCUUUAAGAAUGUUCCAAUUUCAUCCCAGAUGCC